AUGUUAGCUUUUGCCCGGUGCGGUGUCGCUGUUAUCGACCCAUUUAAGCUAGUUGCAAAUGACAACAAAGCACCGAUGGCUUUGGCUGCGUAAGCGGUCCGAAAAAUUGGAACCUUAAGUCUUAGGCCUGCGGUCUAAGCGGGGUUCGGAGGUACCUGGCAACAGAAACCUCCACU
rnacentral:tmRNA from 1 species